GACGAACGCUGGCGGCGUGCUUAACACAUGCAAGUCGAACGGAAAGGCUCUGCUUUUGUGGGGUGCUCGAGUGGCGAACGGGUGAGUAACACGUGAGUAACCUGCCCUUGACUUUGGGAUAACUUCAGGAAACUGGGGCUAAUACCGGAUAGGAGCUCCUGCUGCAUGGUGGGGGUUGGAAAGUUUCGGCGGUUGGGGAUGGACUCGCGGCUUAUCAGCUUGUUGGUGGGGUAGUGGCUUACCAAGGCUUUGACGGGUAGCCGGCCCGAGAGGGUGACCGGCCACAUUGGGACUGAGAUACGGCCCAGACUCCUACGGGAGGCAGCAGUGGGGAAUAUUGCACAAUGGGCGGAAGCCUGAUGCAGCAACGCCGCGUGCGGGAUGACGGCCUUCGGGUUGUAAACCGCUUUCGCCUGUGACGAAGCGUGAGUGACGGUAAUGGGUAAAGAAGCACCGGCUAACUACGUG
rnacentral:rRNA from 1 species